rnacentral:tRNA from 1 species
AGAGAUGUAUCUCAGUGGUAGAGCACGUGCUUAGCAUGCACGAGGCCCUGGGUUCAAUCCCCAGUACCUCUG